GGGGCUGUAAGGGUUUUGACGGGGAGUUGUGGUCGCGCGAGUUGCGAGCCGAGGAUGUCAUCUCACCUCGUAAAUCAAGGUGGCGCCGUUCAAAUGCGAACGUUAAAGAAGCAUUAAGUGGCGUGGUUUGGGCCUGGACUAAUACUUCAGUGCUUAGCCCCGUCGCUGUCGCGGCUUAACUAGUUUAAGUCGCCCGUCUUCCGGCCUCGCCGAUAGAGCCGGGUCAAGAUGUAAUUAUGUCGGAUACUCGCCGGCUUCGCCGGUUAGCCAAGCGGGGAAACAUUAAGCGGCUGGCUUGAGAAAUCCCUCGUUCCAGGUUAAAUCUUAAGCGAGAAUAAAAUAGGGGCUACGCUCGUAGCGGCUCACGUGAUCGCCUUUCCGGACAGGGGUUCGACUCCCCUCAGCUCCAUUU
rnacentral:tmRNA from 5 species